AACAGAACGAACAAUGAAUGAAUGUGGGCGGUCAACCAGGUAAGCCUGUGCCCAGGAAAGAAAGGACUAGGGAGGGAUUGAGAGAAGCUUUCACAGUGGAAAAUGCAAAAAAGCAUAUCGUUCUUAGAAAUUGUGGAAUUUUACUCAGUUAGAGCUAUGGUUUAGCAUCAAGAGGGAAGUUUUGUAAAAGCAACAGGAAGAAUUGCUCAGAUACCCAUGAGCGUAUAUAACUUGGGUCGUGUUAUAAAUGCUCUGGCUAAACCUAUUGAUGGGAGAGGCGAAAUUGUAGCUUCCGAAUCUCGCUUAAUUGAAUCUCCUGCUCCAACUAGAAUUUCCAGGCGUUCCGUAUACGAACCUCUUCAAACAGGGCUUAUUGCUAUCGAUUCGAUGAUCCCUAUAGGGCGCGGUCAGCGAGAGUUCAUUAUUGGGGACAGACAGACUGGCAAAACAGCAGUAGCCACAGAUACAAUUCUCAAGAAAAAAGGGCAAGGUGUAAUAUGUGUUUAUGUAGCUAUCGGUCAAAGAGCAUCCUCCGUAGCUCAAGUAGUAACUACUUUCCAUGAGGAGGGGGCCAUGGAAUACACUAUUGUAGUAGCUGAAAUGGCGGAUUCACCUGCUACAUUACAAUACCUCGCUCCUUAUACGGGAGCAGCCCUGGCUGAGUAUUUUAUGUACCGCGAACGGCAUACUUUAAUAAUUUAUGAUGAUCUCUCCAAACAGGCACAAGCUUAUCGCCAAAUGUCCCUUCUAUUAAGUCCCGGCCGUGAGGCUUAUCCAGGGGAUGUUUUUUAUUUGCAUUCACGNNNNNNNNNNCUGGAUUGAAUCCUUCGCGAUGGAAAUGCCCUCGCCUACUUGACUAAACUAAGGACCUCAACGGUAUAAACAUGUAGAUUUUCUACUUUUCCAUUUUCCUUCUUGUUUAUCAAUCACCAAUCAAGACAAACCGGGCACUACGGUGAGACGUGAAAACACCCGAUCCCAUUCCGACCUCGAUAUAUAUGUGGAAUCGUCUUGCGCCAUAUGUACUGAAAUUGUUCGGGAGACAUGGUCAAAGCCCGGAGAAAGAGCAAGAAAACUAAAGAAAGCGUUAGCGCAUUGGACUCGAAAUCCAAAUUGUGCUAGCUGACAAAGAAAAAACAGAAUAUAACAGAGAAAUAUUGGUUCUGACUGGUUGGUAAAAGGACUCUAAAUCCUUUGAGUGGUUCGAUUCCACAACAGAACAAAGAAUGAAAUGAAUGAAUGAAAUCCAUGACCAUGCCUCCAGUAGGAAGAUCGAGGAACCGGUGCUGGCGCUCCUAGUUCAUGGGAUCCUAACCGUGAUGGGGAGAUUAGAUAUUAUUCUUUCGUAAGUCCAUCCAAUGGAGAUAGGUUGAGGAGAAAGAAAGGAGAAAACUAAAGAGAAAGAUGGACAGUAGAUUGACAGUAUCCGAAUCAAAUAAGAAAAAAACGUAGCUAUUUCAUCAAAUCCCGAUUGUGUGGGUGUGAAGUGGAAAAAUCCUGUUCUGGCUGGCAGCGGGCAUAGGACUGAAAAUCCUCUUUCGCCGGGCCUUUUGGACUCGAAAUCCAAACGGAGAGAGUGGUUCGAAUCCACCUCAGAACGAACAAUGAAAAAGGCGUCGAGCGGGUGCAAGCUCGAGGAGCUAGGAAGGAUGGAAGAAAGCUUGACCGUUUUUUCACUGAACUACUCGAACUUUUUGUUCGAAAAAGCGGAAAUAGCUCAGUUCGAGAGAGGGUUGAGCUUCAUCGGUUAGUGUGCACCAAAGGAUGAGGUUUCUUUCCCGUCCUACAAAUUGAACCCGUUCUAGCUUGAUACUGCGAUAUCGUCAAAUCAUCCAACGGAGCAUGGAAACCAUUUCGGUGGCGGUAAUGGCCUCCAGUAGUUUUCUAUGGAACCAUACCACUAUGGUCAUCUAUAUGAUUAGACCGUGCCGCUUCACUAGACUUUCCUGAACCAUCCAUUUGAUCCCCACGGUCGUGACACCACUUUCUAAACAAAAGUUUCCAAAAUCCAAUGCGGAACCAAGCAGUAAGAGAAAUUCAUCAUGGUAAUUAUUAGUCGAAAACCAAAGUGGAACGGAGAGAACGGAGAGUCAGUUACAAUGACAAAAUAGUUGAGGAAUCAUGUUGAAAGAACAACAUUCUGUGUCAUAAAUAUCGUAUAUAGAGAUUUUUCAUGUAUCGACGCUUUUGAUUCAAUUAUGAAAGUACGCUGUACUGGACUUGCACCCCUAGUUACGCAGAAGUGCAAGCACAGAAGCGGAUGACCGGACCUUACCAACAUACUCAAAAAAGUAUUCUAUACUGGGGUCUGUGCUCUUGACAAGCAGUGUUUCCAGUCUAGCUGUGUCAAAUCGGGUGUGAAGUGUCCUUCUAGGUUCUGGCUGGUAGAGCAGAGGACUGAAAAUCCUCUUUAGUUUCACGCAUGGGACUCUAAAUCCCAAUUGCGCUAGCUCUGUGGUUCGAUUCCAAAACAGAACGAACAAUGAAUGAAUGUGGGCGGUCAACCAGGUAAGCCUGUGCCCAGGAAAGAAAGGACUAGGGAGGGAUUGAGAGAAGCUUUCACAGUGGAAAAUGCAAAAAAGCAUAUCGUUCUUAGAAAUUGUGGAAUUUUACUCAGUUAGAGCUAUGGUUUAGCAUCAAGAGGGAAGUUUUGUAAAAGCAACAGGAAGAAUUGCUCAGAUACCCGUGAGCGUAUAUAACUUGGGUCGUGUUAUAAAUGCUCUGGCUAAACCUAUUGAUGGGAGAUGCGAAAUUGUAGCUUCCGAAUCUCGCUUAAUUGAAUCUCCUGCUCCAAGUAGAAUUUCCAGGCGUUCCGUAUACGAACCUCUUCAAACAGGGCUUAUUGCUAUCGAUUCGAUGAUCCCUAUAGGGCGCGGUCAGCGAGAGUUCAUUAUUGGGGACAGACAGACUGGCAAAACAGCAGUAGCCACAGAUACAAUUCUCAA
rnacentral:lncRNA from 1 species